rnacentral:tRNA from 1 species
GGGGGUAAAGCUUAAUGGCAGAGUACUUGCUUAGUAUGCAUGAGGCUUGGGUUCAAUCCCCAGCACUACAA